rnacentral:tRNA from 15 species
CCAUGGUGUAAUGGUAGCAUUGGAGAUUCCAAAUCUUUAGACCAGGGUUCGAUUCUUA